AUGAGAGGUGCCCGGAGUGAAUGCUGCCGUCGUGUCACACCGAUCGCCCCGAAGUCAAAUCGACGCGCCAUGUCACGGUGCCGCACGCGCACCUGCAUAUAUCGCGAGGCUUGGCUAGCUCUCGCCGUUGCCGCACGCACGCGCAGAGCGACGAGGCGACACGUACGGUGCGCGCGUGAACAGCCGAGAAGGGAAGAGAAGAGCGGCGAGGCCAUGGCGGGCGUGUGCGCGCUGCUGCUCGUCGCCGUGCUCCCUCCCGUGGUGGUGCUGCUUGUCUCCGUGGCCGGCCGGGCGGCGGCGCGCGGGGUGGGCGCGCUGGCGCGCGCGCACUACGCGUGGCCGGCGGGGUCGCCGUCCGUGCACGCGCGGAAGUGCGGCAGGAGGGCCGCGCCGGAGCAGCCGGAGCACGAGCUGCGCGUGUCGCGGCACCGCGGGGGCGCGGCGGUGGAGUGCGCGGUCUGCCUGAGCGGCGUGGCGGAGGGCGACGAGGUGCGGGAGCUGCGGUGCCGGCACGUGUUCCACCGCGCCUGCCUCGACCGGUGGCUCGCGACGCCGCCGGCCACGUGCCCGCUCUGCCGCUCCCGCCUGCUGACGGCGCCGCCGGUAGAGGCCGAGGAGGAGGAGGAGCUGGACCUGGACUCGGACCUGCUGCUGCUCAUGGCGUACGUGCACGGCGGCGGCGGAUGGUUCUGGUCGCCGUGA
rnacentral:rRNA from 1 species